rnacentral:sRNA from 1 species
AAAUUUUUAUAUUUUUACAGUUUAUAAUUAUUAUUAAGUAUUUAUAUAUAUUAUUUUUUAUUAAAAAUAAUAAAUCAAAGAUUUAACCUGUAUUGAAACGGUAGAUUAAUUAUAUUUUACUUUUUAUUAAUGUUGAUUCAAAAACCCGUCCCUCCAAAUCCGUCUUGCCAAAAAGCCAUUUAUUUUAUUAAUAUUGAUUUUACUUAUGAUAUAACUCUGAAUUAUAAUCUAAACAUUUUAGCUAAUAACAUAGGAGUGCACCAUAUUUAUUUAAUAGGAGAAUGUACCAUAUGACCCGAAUGCACUUUUACCCAAAUCCACCAAAAAAGUCUUGCAAAACUACUAUAGACCCGAAUGUACCAUAUUUUUUUGUGCUAAUUUUUAUGUGAUUAAGAUUUAAUUGAUUUCGUACAUAAAAUAUUAAAUUGUUUUACGAACUUAUUUGUUUAUAAUUUGGUAACAGAUAGAUAAUUGAAUAUUCAGUAUAUUUUGCUUCAGUUUAGGAAAUCUUUAAUGACCCGUCUUUAAAUCCAAUAAGCCCUAUAAUUAAGAGAUGAAUAUUGUCGUUAAAUGAUUUUGGUAAUCUUAAUGAUGUCAUUUAAAGAUUUUGUUUUUGAUUAAAUUUUUCUAAUGGCAUUGUCAUGUAAUUAAUACAAAAAUUAAGGUUACAUUUAAAAUGUACUUCCCAAAUAAUAUAGUAGGACGAUAUGCACUUUUAUCCAAAUCCACCAAAAAAGUCUUGCAAAUAUACUAUAGAGAUAAGAAACGAUAGUCGGUUUUGAUAGGUAUAAGAUUAGCAAAUAUAUUAGUUCGCUUAAAUUAGUUAAAGAAUACAAAUUGAAAAGGUAUAUUACACUUUAUUCGAAUAUAGUAUCAAAACUUAUAUAGAGAUUUGAUAAAUUUUUAAUUGUUGAAUACUUUUUUUUUGUGCUAAUUUUAUGUGAUUAAGAUUUAGUUGAUUUCGUAUAUAAAAUAUUAAAUUGUUUUACGAACUUAUUUGUUUAUAAUUUGGUAACAGAUAAAUAUUUGAAUAUUCAGUAUAUUUUGCUUCAGUUUAGGAAAUCUUUGAUGAGUUGUCUUUAGAUCCAAUAAGCUCUGUAAUCUAGAUAUUAACUUGCAGUAUACCGCAUGUAGGCUUAUAUUUUAGUUCAACUAAAAACUUUUAUUGUAAAGAUGAUUUAAAAAUAUAUGAUAUUAUUUUAUUUGAUUUUAAAUGUAUAGUAAACUGUGAGUUGUAUAUAUUUUGUUGAUAUUAUCUAUAUUGUUUAGUGUUUAAGAUUAUACACUUGUAGUUUGAUUGUUAAUUUAAGAGUUUCACCUGUAGUAUACCAUCUUGUAUUAAUAUCGAUCUAAUCCCGUCAAUUUUAGGAUUUUCCAGCUUGUAUUAAAAAUUGAAUCACAUCUAAUAUGUUAUUAAUUAUUGUAGUAUAUAAGAUUAUAAAUUUUCAAUAUAAUAUGUAUGAAAUUGAAUAUAAAUAUUUCAAAUUAUGACAUGUUACUCAGUAGAAAGUUUUCUUAAAUCUAUUUUUCACCCGUUAUAAUAUUUUUUCAUGUAUUGAACAGUUUAUAUUCGUUUUUAAAAAUUCAAAUUAUGGCAUAUGCGAAAAAACUCUAAUUAUUUUUCUAUAAUGAUGAUAUUAUUUUUCGGCAAAAAUAGAAUCAUAUAAAGAUGAGAAGUAAACUAUAAUAUUUAAUAAAAAAUUAAUAUGAUAAUUUAGAUAUCAAAUCUAAUUUGUUGAUUUUAAUUGGUUACUUUUUUGGGAAUUAAUAAUGUAUUUCGUUUUUCUAAUUAAAUUAAAUUAAUUAAAAUUUAGAUAUCAAAUCUUAUAUGUUGAUUUUGAUUGGUUAUUAUUUUUGGAAAUUAAUAAUGUAUUUCGUUUUUAAUUAAAUUUAAUUAAUUAAAUUAGUAUUUGACUUUUUAAUCCUCAAAGAGAUAAACUAAUUUACUCUUUAAAAUUUUAUUUCUAAUGGCAUACCUAUGUAAUUACUUACAAAAAUUAAGGUUAUAUUUAAAAUGUACUUCCCAAAUAAUAUAGUAGGAUAUUUUUCUUUAAACGAAUAACUGGUAACAUUUAUGAUGUAUUAGUUGCCGUAUCAAUUAUUAAUUUUUUUUAAUAAUAAUAAGAUUAUCUUUUAUAAAUUGAAUAAAUAUAAAUAGAUUAAAUAAAAUGAUACUAUCUUAA